CUUGUCAUCUAAGCCUGAUUGAGAUCAAGAUUAAAUCGUUUCACAUUCUUCAUGAACAUGAAAACAAUGACACAAAUAAUAGGGUUAACUAUCAGAUUGGUCCCUGUCUUUGUUUUGCCGUCUGAGGUAAGUCCCUCCCCGAAAAAUUUAUUGUCUUUGGUCCUCAUGUUUGAAAAACUUUUGGAGCGGAUCCUCGCCGGAGCCCGGAGCUCCGGCGAGUAAUGAAAUGGCAUGCUGAGUGGAUUAACGGUGCUUAUGUGGAAUAAAAAAAAUUAAAAUAAUAAACACAUCAGAAAAUUAAAAAAAAUUAGGCUUAAAUAUGUUGGGGGCCCCUAUAAAAUGGGGGUCCUUUGGUUUAAGCUCCUACAAAAAAAUUUCUUUGGCAUACGCCCUUAUGUGGAAAAUAAUAGUGAGCUUUAAGCCCCUGCCGUCAACAUCUGUUAAAAAAAAAACGUUAAGUGCUGAGCUGGCAACAAAUGGUCACUUCUCUCUCAUACCUAACUCUCCACAUCAUAUCCCAUCUCAUAUAUUAUUUUCCAUUUCAUUUUAAUUAUUAAAUAAAAUUUCAGAAAAAAUAAAUCAUGUUAUUCUUCUUCUCCCUCCCUCUUGUGCUCAUCGUCCACGACCCCUCAUCUUCUUCACCAUGGCCACCAGGCACCAACUGUCUCCUUCAUCAUCCAUCGCCCCCUCCUCCCUCCUCUUCUUCACCAUCAUUGAAGGAUCCUUCCUUCGUCUGGGUUGAGGCCUUCUUUCUCCUGAUAAUUUUGGAGCGCAUGACUGUGAUGCGGGCUGGAGACAUCGUGGUGAUGCGCGAGGAUGAUGACGGAGGAGCUCCGAUCUGGAUCUCUGGAUCUCUCUUUCAAUUUUGUGUUUGUGUUGAAUUAAGAACAUGAAGGGGCAUAAAGCUACAUAUUAUUUUGCACAUAAGGGUGUAUGCCAAAGAAAUUUUUUUGUAGGGGCUUAAACCAAAGAACCUCUAUUUUAUAGGGGCCCCCAACAUAUUUAAGCCAAAAAAUUAAAGCCCAAAACUUUUCAUAACUCACAAGUUAACCCCCAAAUCAAAGAAACCCUAAAUCCCUAAAUCAGAAGAUUCAAACCCAGUAACACUAAACCUAAAAUCCCAAAAUUUCUAUUAAAACCAAAUUCAGAUUUCUCAUAGCACCAACAGAAACCUAACAAAUCAAACCCAGCAACACUACACCACUCUUUCCAGUUUGCACCGAUUUCCCACUCUCCCACCACCGAUUCCCCACUCUCCCACCACCUCCACUCUCCCACCACCUCCACUCUCCCACCACUCACUCAAGAGCGACGAGAUCGAGUUUGACAGAAGAGGAAGAAGUCGAGAAAGAGGAAAGAGCGCGCGGGAGGAGAAGCGCUGAACCAGAUCUUCGUCGCCUUCGUUCAUGCUGUUCAUCAUCACCGUCAUCUUCGUCGCCGUCGGCGGCGACGGUCUGAGACGCCAGGACGCGAGAGGCACCAUGUUGUGGCGAAACGACGUCGUUGUAAUGGGUUCACGGGAGGGAAGACUGAAGGUCGAAGGUUUUCUUCAUCUCCUCCCUGUUGGAAUUGUGGUUUGGGGUUGUGUUUCAGGUUCGACGAUCUGUGACCUCUGUAUUGUGCUGUUGGUGCUCUUCCGGCUGGGAGCUGUGGGAAGCGUUUUUGUUUCUUGCUCUUCUUUUGCUAGUGUUUUUGUUUCUUUUUCUUUCUCUGAGAUGUAACUGGGUUUGUGCCCCCUUUUAUUAAUUCAAUUUUUGCCCAGAUUAUUAGUUCUAUUUUUA